rnacentral:lncRNA from 1 species
CCUUGUACGAGUACCAUGCAUGCCUCAUGAAGUGCAUGUCCUCAAUAAAUUGAACUCGCUAUGGAUUGCAUUCCUGCUGACCGAGACCGGAAUCAGUUAGCCUAGCCUCAUCUCAUUACCGGUGGUACUACUACCUAAUCUCUAUGCUAGUGAGAUGUGGAACAGAAAUGUGCGCCUAUGCUUCUCCGCGGACAAAACAUACGUGUCGGUAACCGCAGUUCUAUCCUGAAUUUACCUUGCUUCCUGGCACCGUAUUUCUGGGAACUGUGUGUUUACCGAACCGUAUUUGCCGGAUAUACGGUCCGCAUGGGGGCAAAUUGUCCACAUGCUCACGUGGCGCCCCGUCGGCUUGCAUGCAUGAAUGAACGAACGAAACGACGAGACUGUUGUGGGCGACAUGUCAACGGCAACAAUGGCAGAUGGUCCACUGAUACUAACAUACAUCAGGCGACAUGGACCCGGCCGGUAGGCAGACAGACGCUAUACAGUAUACUCCUACUGGUCGGUAUGGCCGGCCGGGCCAACGCGUGAACUGCGUGAUGCGUCGGAAUCGGCAUUUAUCCCGUACGUACUCUCCGGCGGAGUCGCGAGCCGGCACGCCGUCGCCGGCGUCUCCAGGACUUUCGUACUUGCCGUAUUGUUUUAUUUUAUUAUGGUGGGAAAGCACGUAGACGUGGUCGUUUUCUUGCAUAUUUUAUUGUCGAAAAAGAGCGAGCACGUACUGUAUAGACGACACUGGCCCUCAUGAUACGCAAUGCAUACGUGUUCACGAGGUGGCGCGUCUCCUAACCACACACUACUACACUAGAAUGGCCAAGACUGAGGUUUGCGUAAAAUUUUCGUUCUAUUCCAUUGAUCAUGACACAGCGAGACAAAAAAUAUUACAUAUUACAUUCAUAGACCAUCUAGCAACGACUAUAAAUACUGAAGCAAGCCGAAGGCAAUGCCGCUGUCAUCACACCUCCCUCGCUGGAGCCGGGCGAAACUUGUUCUAAUUGACAGUUAAGAAGUCGUCGUGCUAUGAAAUUAAUUACAAUCAAAUCCUAAACGAAAAUUAGGGGAGAGGCGAAAUUAGGGGAGAGGCGGCCAUGGCGGCGGAGGUACCCCCGGCAGAUCUCGCCGCCGGGAGAUCCUUGGAGAAGGGGAGCGGCUGUCCAAAGGGAGAGUGCGUUGUUGAGGGGAGGAGCACGGGGAACCACAUCUCACUGCUGGAUGUGGACGACCUCAAGCGAAGAUGGCGUGCCAUUACAGCGAAAGCGAGGAAGGAAGAUGUGAUAUUCCGGCGACCAAAAAACCUUGUAGAAGGCAAGUUGGAGCCGAUGGUCGCAGAUCUGAAGAAUAUGGCAUAGGAGACCCUUGAAGGCGGGCUGGGGAAUUGGAGAAAGGAGGAAGGGAGAUCCCCGGAGAAAGAGGACAAAGAAGAGGCACCGUUGAAGAAGAUCCAGACCAUCCCUGUGAUUAUGGGGCAGACCUGUGCGCCAGUAAUGGAGCCCUGCGAGCAGAAGAGGAAACCAGCAAAGGUACGAGAUUUGUUUGCCAUUCCUAAAAUUGUAGGAAGUCGGGGAUGGAAGGCCACCGGAGAGAUUGGGAAGGCCCCGAUUGGUGGUGCGGGGAAUAGGAAAGAGACCAGGCCUGCUAGUUUCCUUUCUCAGCGAUCAACGGAAGAUUUUUGGGAGGUAACAGAGAGCAGGGAGGGAUUUGGACGACUGAAAAGGAAUGGUACAGUAGAAUCCGGUGAGGAAAUCAGGAGAGCAAUCUUCGGAUUCCGGCCUGGUUGGGCUAUCUCCGGGGAAGGAAGAUUGGAGAAGACGAUCCAUAUAAGGUGUAGAAGAAGGGGAGCCAGCCUCCAGAAGAAAAUCACAUCUUCUUCCCCUGUAGUUGUGAGCGCCAUGGCACCUGCAACCCAUCCAAAGAAGAAUGCUGCUGAUGAGAAGAGCGAGAUCAGGAGCUGUGGAGGGGACAACAUCACCCCCUUUGUUCAGCGCCCUGGCAAGGAGCACAUGAGGGAGGGGCAUGGUGUUGAGACCAUGUCCUCGGCUGUCCGCCGGGAGAGAGAAGAAGCUGUGGCGGUGGAGAAGGGUGGCCGACCGACGCCGCUGCUAGUCCCGGAGGAGGCGUUGGGAAAGUUGAGCCUGCUGGAUGAGGAUGACAAUGCUCUGGUGGUGGACUUCAAGGAGGCCGCCAAGAAUUUCUGUAAGUGGCUCAUCGUCGUUGUGUAUCUGACAUCAAGGGUGUACAGCCCAAAUGCCCUGUUCACCACCAUGAGGCGGGUGUGGAAGCCGCAUGGGGACAUGACAGAAAAGCCGAUGCCGGGCAACCGGUUCAUCAUUGAACUGCAGCAUGAAGGUGACUAUCUCCACAUCCUACGGGGUGGCCCGUGGAUCCAUGACAACGACACCCUGCUGGUGGCGGCGCAUGAUGGCAUGAGGGCGGCUGCGGAGGUCCCCGUCGACAUCCUGCCCAUGUGGGCUCGCAUCUACGAACUCCCGCCGUUCAUCAUGAUGGACGAUACCCUCUGCGAGCAAGCGGGCAAGAAGCUGGGAAAGGUGCGGCUGGUCCACACCAACAAUAAUGGCCGCACCUUAGAUCAGUUCCUCCGCAUCCGGAUCGAGCACAAGGUGGUUGAACCGCUAAGGAGGUGGAUAAAGAUUGAAGGCACGGAUGGAAGAGAUGCUAAAAGAUGCCCUGUAAAGUAUGAGCACGUUCCCCAUUUUUGUUUUUAUUGUGGCAUCAUUGGGCACACAGAGAAAUCAUGUCUGAUAAUAGAAGAGGAGAAGAUAGGGCGGUUCUCUACGGAGCAGCCUGCCUCGCCAUACAAGAUGUUCGAGCACCGGAGCUUCUAUAUGCCAGGGGAGGUGAGCAGUGCCAAGCGCAACCUCCAGUUUGGUAGGCUCCCUUCACAGGCUCUUGUGAUGGAUGCAGAAGAUGGAAACGGGAAGAAAGCAGGGGAGACAGAAAAGUUGGGCACCAAUAUGAAGGCCACCGACAACGAUGAGCGGACGACAACGGAUCCCAUGAUCAAGGCUGUCGUGAAAGGGGUGGUUGCCGCUGUGGAGAAUCUCAAGGCCAAUGAAGAGGUUGUAGCGGACAGAGUACACAGGAUAACUAACAUUCCUAUGCAGGUGAAUCCAGAACAGCAAGUAAAGUCGAAGACAGUCUGGAAUCAGCGUGCCCGUUCUGAACAUUCCAGGGCUAGCAGCAAUGGGCGUGGGAAGCCUCUCUUCCAGGCGGCCAAAAGGAACCCAGGGCUGGGACGACUGGCUGCAGCUAUCAGGGCCAGAGUGGCCAAGCAUACUGCUGGCCUUGCUACUGGUCGUGAAGCCAACAAGCCUUCUGAUGCCCCAGUUCAUCCAAGGGGUGUUGAUGGCCUUGUAGUGACCACCCCAGCACAUGAGGUGAUGGGGGUCGCUGCAAUUCAGCAACUGGCGCUGCAUCCAUAUGCUGGGGGUGCUACUGAUGGGCCAGUGCAGCCAGCGGUGGCCUACUCCCCGAUCCGCGAAUAUGGCAGGAGUGACAGCUCUAUUUGCCGUGAGUUGUACGGUCCAGAUGACACCAACAACGCUGCCUGCGUAUACCGCCGGAAGAAUCAAGUUCUUGGUAAGCGCAGCGGAGAGGACCGAGCUCCAAUGGAUCUGGAUGAUGAGAACAACCUGCCAAAGUUCAGUUUUGAGAGCAGCAAGAAGAGCAGAGGAUCACCUUCGGUGUCGCUGGAGGAGGAGACCAGGAAGGAGGACGCCAAGAAAUCGGAGGCAACCAGCCAUGGGGCCGCUGGUCAACUGACAGGCACGGAUGAGCGUGCCUGUCAGGAGCCAUGACGAUACUUUGUUGGAACUGCCGGGGCUUGGGCCGACCCCGGAAAGUUCAAGAAUUGGUGAGGCUUGUGCAUGCUCAGCGUCCAAAAUUUUUGUUUCUUUCUGAAACUCGUCAAAAUAAAAGGUUUGUAGAAGGUCUUAGAUGGAGGCUAGGCCUCCGCAAUGUAGUUUCCUAUAUAGAAGAAGGUAAAGGGGGUGGCCUAGCUUUGUUCUGGGAUGAGAGUGUCGAUGUUGAGCUCUUUAAGCUAGGCGAGAGAUUUAUUGAUGUAUUCAUUUGUAAUAUGCCCUCUGGAAUAAAGUGGAGAUGCACCUUUGUUUAUGGAGAGCCUCGUACACACUUGCGCCAUCUUAUGUGGGAUCUAAUGCGUAAAAUGAAAAACCUAACCUCGCCGGGACCAUGGCUGAUGGCAGGCGAUUUCAAUGAGUGUAUGUGGCAGGAAGAGCAUUUUUCUAGAACGUGUAGAAAUAAAAAACAAAUGUUUAAUUUUAGAGAAAUCCUAUCCCACUGUGAUCUUCAUGACUUAGGUUUCUUAGGGGCGCCGUGGACUUUUGACAAUGGCCAAGAUGGCGACCGCAAUGUUAAAGUUAGACUUGACAGGGCGGUGGCGAACCCGGAAUGGAUGAAUAUUUCCCAAACAAUCAGGUUAAUCACAUAGUUAGUACAGCUUCAGAUCAUUGCCCCAUUGAGGUGUGCUGUGUGCAGCAACCUGUACACCAUCCAGUCAGUCAACAACGUAGGUAUGAAGCUUUCUGGGAAAAGGAUAACAAAUUAACUGAAGAAGUUGAGUUGGCUUGGUCAAAGCAUCGGUCAGCCAGAGAUUUAGGAGAUAUUACAGCAAACCUAUCAGGUGUGAUGAGUUCUCUUCACGACUAGAGCAAACGGAAUUUUGGUUCUAUCACAAAGAAAAUAAAGGACCUUCAUAAUAAAAUUCAGGCUAUCAGUCACCGUAAUGACAGUUUCGCAAACUCUGAGCGAAAGCGACUAAGAAAGGAACUAGAUGAACUACAAGAUAAAGAAGAGAUUGCUUGGCGGCAAAGAUCGAGAGUGGAGUGGCUGAAGGAGGGCGAUCGAAAUACAAAUUAUUUUCAUCGAAAAGCUACUUGGCGCGCAAAGAAAAACUCUAUCCGGAAGCUUCAAGAUGAGGCGGGUAACAUUAUUGACAAAAAAGAGGAUUUGGAAGACAUGGCCACAAGUUUUUUCCAGGAGCUCUUCACCAAAGAUAAUCAGAUCGAACCUAAUAUUAUCCUUGACCAUGUCCAAGGCCGGGUUAAUGCUGCUAUGAAUGAUACAUUAUGUAAAGAACUCAGUGAUGAUGAGAUUGCAAAUGCUUUAUUCCAAAUCGGGCCACUAAAAGCGCCUGGGGCAGACGGCUUCCCGGCUCGUUUUUUCCAAAGACACUGGGCUACUUUAAAAGAUGAUAUUAUUCGGGCUGUAAAGAAAUUUUUUGCUGAUGGAGUUAUGCCUGAUGGGGUGAAUGAUACAGUUAUAGUCCUUAUUCCAAAGAAGAAAGACCCAGUUAAGUUGAAGGAUUUCAGACAAAUAAGUUUAUGCAACGUUGUUUAUAAAAUCAUAGCUAAGUGUCUGGUAAAUCGCCUUACACCUUUGCUCGAGGAUAUUAUAGCCCCCACCCAAAGUGCCUUCAUUCCUGGGAGGAUGAUUACGGAUAACGCCUUAAUAGCCUUUGAGUGUAUAAAUACCAUGCAAAAGUCAUGUGAUGCCAAAGGAUCUUUUUGCGCUUACAAACUAGAUCUGACAAAAGUGUAUGAUCGUGUGGACUAGGACUACCUUGAGGGGGUUUUGAGGAAAUUUGGCUUUGCGGACCAAUGGAUUAGAUGGACGAUGAGUUGUGUGACGUCAGUCAGGUAUGCCGUGAGAAUGAACGGGACUAUCCUCCAGUCCUUUUCGCCUUCUCGGGGCCUGCGUCAAGGUGACCCGUAUUCUCCUUACCUAUUCCUGCUCGUUGCCGAUGGUCUCUCUACUCUGCUACAAUCGGAGAUCAACACUGGUCAUAUUCAGGAGUUCAAGAUCUGCAGAGGGGCGCCUGGCAUUUCUCACUUACUAUUCGCGGAUGAUAGCCUGUUAUUCUUUAAGGCGAAUCAGGACCAAGCCUCGAGAAUUAAGAAUGUACUAACGAGGUAUGAAAAGGCUACGGGCCAACUGUUAAGUCCUAGUAAAUGCUCUAUCAUGCUUGGCAAAUCCUGUAGUCAGGAGGAAGGAAAGAGAGUGGCACAAAUCCUGGGUGUUCAGAAAAUUGAUUUUGAAGAAAAGUAUCUAGGACUUCCAGUCCCUGAAGGAAGAAUGAAGAAUGGUAAAUUUCAGCCCAUUAAAGAGCGUUCAUUGAAGAGAUGUACGGAUUGGUGUGAGAGAUAUUUAUCUAGUGCGGCUAAGGAGAGCCUCAUAAAAUCGGUACUCCAGGCACUAUCUACCUAUGCCAUGAGUGUGUUCAAAUUUUCUGCAGGCUUAUGUGAGGAGCUGUCACAGAUCACCAGAAACUUUUGAUGGGGGGACGAAAAUGAUAGAAGAAAGAUACACUGGCUUGCCUGGGAUAAGCUGCUAAUGCCAAAAGAGAAGGGAGGUAUGGGAUUCCGGGAGCUCCGCUUAUUUAAUCAAGCUCUCCUGGCGAAGCAGGCUUGGCGACUUAUCCAAUUUCCGGACAGCUUAUGUGCGAGACUGUUAAAGGCAAAAUUCUACCCACAUGGCAAUCUUGCUGACACUGCUUUUAUCCAGAACGCGUCACCGUGCUGGCAAGGAAUCUGUCAUGGUUUGGAUCUCCUUAAGAAAGGCAUUGUUUGGAGGAUUGGUGAAGGUGAUAAAGUCAGAGUGUGGAGAGAUAAUUGGAUCCCAAGGGGGAAAUUUAAAAAUCACUGGGAAAAAAUCUCGUACUAGGAUAAAGUGGGUCUCCGAACUGAUCGAUCCAGUGACAAGGACAUGGAAUGAGGAACUGAUUAGGAAAAUAUUACUACCUCAUGAUGUUGACGAAGUGCUAAAAAUUCGCCUUCCACAGCCUACCUCUGAGGAUUUUAUAGCAUGGCACUUUGAACGCUCAGGUGUUUUUUCGGUUCGCAGUGCGUACAGGCUAGUCGUUAAUGACAAGGAGGCGAAUCGAGAUCUGGGACAAAGCAGUACGGCGCCAACUGGAGAAAGAAAGAUUUGGAGCGUGCUUUGGAAAGCAAAUGUCCCUCCCAAGAUUAGAAAUUUUGGGUGGCGUUUGGCGACAGAGUCACUCGGAGUUCAGACAAGUAGACAUAAGAGAGGGUUGGAGCUAUUCCGUACAUGCUCUAUUUGUGGGAUGGAACCAGAAGAUGGAUAUCACGCAGUCAUGAGAUGCACAAAAGCUAAAGCCCUGCGUGACACCAUGCGUGAGGUCUGGAACCUUCCCCGGGACACUGAUCUCACAUGUACGGGGCGUGAGUGGGUCCUUCUAACUCUUGAUAAGGCGAAUGAGGAGGAGCGUACACACCUCCUCUUCAUCUGGUGGCGAGCGUGGCACCUUAGAAAUAACAUUAUAUUUGGUGACGGGAAAGAUACAAUAAAGGCAUCAACAGAUUUCCUACAAAGUUAUGCUAGCUCCUUUGCGGCGAUUAGAGCGGGACAGUCGCUUCCUGACUUUAAAAGAAAAGGAGAAGUGAUGCCAGGCAUUUUACCCCGUGAGACUAAACAGAAAGAUGCAGAUUAUAAAUGGGUCAGACCUAACUCAGGUUGGCUCAAACUGAAUGUUGAUGCAAGCUUUAUUCAGGAAACAAACCAUGGAGCUUGGGGGGCGGUUCUACGAGAUACAAAUGGGGCGGUGAUUGGAUCUGCUUGGAACACAAUCCGUAACUGCGCUAGUGCUGAAGCGGCCGAAGCUGAAGCUUGUCUUGAAGGAAUCCGAGAUACCAUGCAGUUCAUAGACCGGCCAGUAGUUAUUGAGAGCGACUGUGCGAAUGUCAUCCAAUAAAUUUCUUCAAAGGACUUUAAUAGAUCUCCCAUUGGUAGCUUGUGUAGGGAAAUUCAGAGUUUGCUGGGCCAACUCCCUGAUUUUACUAUUGCUAAGAUCCUUAGAAAUGGCAAUAGGGUUGCCCAUGCUCUCGCUAGUUUUGGUAGGAGUGGUGUGGGUAAGGGUGUGUUGAUCGGCUCAGUUCCAGCCUGCGUGUUGCGACUGGUCGAUGAUGAUUGUAAUGAACCUAUGUUGAUUAUUUAAUAUAAUACACACCUUUUUCAAAAAAGAAGAAGUCGUCGUGCUGAGGCACCAAAAAACCAGUACACUAAAAAAGUAAUCACUGUAGUUGAAGAGAAGUAUAGAUCGAAAGAAUCUAACGUGAAAACACAUCAACGUUGGCGAACGAAGACCGGAUUUGAGCAAAUCCACCAAUGACAACCACCGACCGUAUCGUGUGAGAUCCAUUAGAGAGACACCUCCACGCGCCCUUUACGACGCUAGUCGCACCGCCAGGACGGGGGGCAAGACUGAGGAUAGAAACAAGAUUUUUCUAGAAUUAUAUGCAUUUAACAGGUGAGUACCGGGAUUAGAACCUGGGUCAAAUCUUUCCCUUUUGCGCACCGUUUUGUUCAAAGUUCUUGGUGCGCGGAAGGCAUCAAAGCGCCGAGAACGGACACACGCUGUUUCGAGCACAUAGUGGGAACGCUUCUCAGCCACAAAUUACUGUACAUACCAGAUUAUAUAACUAGUAUUUAAUUCAAUUAGAAGAAGGUCUAGUCUAGAAUGAAAACAAGAACUAAAUCAGGACGGCCGACGAAGGAGCAGUGUGUUGGCGCGUCAUGCUCCGGCGCAUUCGUCGUCCGGGCAGUGGGCGGCGCGUCGCUCUGACGCCGGGAACGUCCACGGCGAAACGGACGGCUUGGUAUCUACAUGGUCUGUUGCGAGGUCAUUUUCCGGCCACCCUUAAUUAUUCAUUCUCCUCUGCGUGUACACAAGAUGAUAGUUAGUUGGUUAUCCUCCGUGCUGUGCUGUCCAUGCAUAACUCGGCACGCUAAUUCCCUUCUUGUCCCAUCCCGCCCCAGCUAAUUUGAUCAACCACGCAUGCUUGAUAAUGGGUUGCACAACAUGAUACUCCUACAUAAUACACACCGACAUUUCCGCUGGUUUAGCUCACCUCACCACUCACAUGUACUCCUUCUGUUUCUAGAUAUAAGUCUUUGUAGAGAUUUCAAUAUAAACUACAUACGGAGCAAAAUGAAUAAAUCUACACUCUAAACUACGCCUAUAUACAUCCGUAUGUAGUUCAUAUUUAGAAUCUCUAAAAAGACUUUAUAUUUAGGAAAGGAUGAAGUAUGUCACAAUCAAUUAAUUAGUUUUUUUAACACAGUACAGACGCAAGCGCUCAUACAUACGCACAUACACUCACCCCUAUGAACGCACACACGCACACCCUACCUCUAUGAGCACCUUCGAGAGACUGAGCCGGCAUAUCAUCUUGAGAUUUACGAAGUCACUGUAGGCGCUUCGUCGUCAACGGGAACGUCUCCUUCCACUGAAAGCGUAUCGCCGGAAAUCCUGAAAUAAUGCGAGCAUCAGGACUUGAACCCUGAUGGGCUGAGGAUACCACUAUCCCUCUAACCAUCCAACCACGGGUUGGUUCGCCAAUCAAUUAAUUAGUUGAUACUAUAAUAAGAAUCGGCUAAAGAACACCGAAAGCGUUAUAUCGAUGAGCUGUAUAGUAUAGACGUUAGACGGGUUCUGCACACGACGUGCCACCGAUGAAAGAUCUUAACUAGAACUAGAUCACAAAUAAGAGAUAUACUCGGUCCGGCGCAACAAAUUCAUGAUGGCGAUGCUACUAAAACAAGGUGGCAAGCCAAAAUUCAUCUGAUGCACCGUAAAAUGUCUCUUAAACUAAUGCCAAAGUACUUAGCAGCUUUACCCAAAAGCGUAUCCAAUCCAAACGCCGGAUUUUCUCACCGGUGCGGAGAAAAGGCGUCCGAGCAUCGCCCUCCCACUCACUCGCACGUCUCGGUCGCUUCCACUCAGCGGACUGAUUACUUAGCAGUGCGAUUGCUCAUCCGUACGCAAAUCAAAGCAGUUAACGUAGACACUUCGCACAGAGUUCUCAGACACGAAGUGAAAUGAAUCUCGUGCAGGCAAGGCAACCCGCUCGCGGUUUAUUUUGUUCCGGUUUUGUCCAACCAACGUGUCGGCUUCGNNNNNNNNNNNNNNNNNNNNNNNNNNNNNNNNNNNNNNNNNNNNNNNNNNNNNNNNNNNNNNNNNNNNNNNNNNNNNNNNNNNNNNNNNNNNNNNNNNNNNNNNNNNNNNNNNNNNNNNNNNNNNNNNNNNNNNNNNNNNNNNNNNNNNNNNNNNNNNNNNNNNNNNNNNNNNNNNNNNNNNNNNNNNNNNNNNNNNNNNNNNNNNNNNNNNNNNNNNNNNNNNNNNNNNNNNNNNNNNNNNNNNNNNNNNNNNNNNNNNNNNNNNNNNNNNNNNNNNNNNNNNNNNNNNNNNNNNNNNNNNNNNNNNNNNNNNNNNNNNNNNNNNNNNNNNNNNNNNNNNNNNNNAUCGGAUUCCUUUUGAAAGUUUCACUUGUCGAUCGAUGUGUGCACUGCACCUACUUACUUAACUUAUAUUGUUCAUAUUUUUGUAACAUUAUUAUAAGAAUUAGAAAGUUUUCCUUUUAGACUUAUAUGUUCCUUCUACUUCUAGUAGGAUAUCUAUAGGGCUAUGAACAUUACAUUACAUUAUCACAUUUAGAUUGUUGUGCCUACUUGCACUAUCUAGGAUAUCUCCCCGCGCUGUUUGGAGAUGGGCAUUACGCGAAUUAGAUAGCUUUGUUUAGAGUGUUUUUUUUAUUGUCACGUAUAUCAACAACUUACAUAAUAUUGGAUUGCACAUGCAUCUACAACGCCACUGUUUUUCAAGACCAUGUUCAGCCCGUGUAUCAACAAACUAACAAAAACGGAAACUUUGUUGUGGAUUCACAAGGUAAUUUAAGUUUGGUACCAACCACGGGAAGAUAUCUUUUGUUUCUUUAGAUUUCGAGGUAAAGUUAAGGCUGCCCUAUUGGUUCAAGACUGUAUAGCAUAUGUGGACUAGUCUAUCGUGCCAUAUUUGUCAAUCUGUUAGGUGAUUUGCUCUCACACAAUAUAAUGCUUCCAUGUUUCACCAGACACUCUUGAUCAACCCUAAAAAUUCAAGAGAACCCCUCUUUGUACAAGAAACUGUGUAUCAAGCAAGAUUUUGAUCGCAAAUGGACCGAUCGGCCAUAGCUUGACUAGCAGAAUGCUCGUGGGUUUCCUUAAUCGAAUGCAUUCAAAUCCUUGAGAUAUGCCCAGCUGGUGGAAGCACAUGGUAUUAUGGAAAAUGUUCUCUCAAUGCAAACCAAACUCCUCUGAUAUCAAUAAACUUCAAAUUCCAUAUUAACCCAAAAAAAAGUUUCAACUAUAGUGCAAUAUUCGAUCUACACAAACAGUGUGAAGAUGUUACGUUCACAUCUUGCAUUGUGAAUCUUGAACCAAAAGUCAUAUAAGUGAUAACCUAAAUGACGUGGAAAAUGGCAUGGAAGAUGAGCAUGCGAGAAAAAAAAAGUUUGAACUAUAGUGCAAUAUUCAGUUUAACCCGGAGUAGUAAACAUCUUACAUUCGCGUAUUGCAUUGCGAAUCUUGAACCAAACGCCAUAUAAAUGAUAACCUGAAUGGUUUGGAAAAUUGCAUGAAAGAUGACCACAUGAUAGCGAGAGCUAUAUAGGGAUUACAAUCCCACACGGACCAUGUGAAAAAUCCUUUGAUAAUCCACACACCACAUUAUGCGGAUUAGAUGGUUUUUUACUUGGAGCUAUUUCUUACUUCUAGAAUAUAUGUUACAUUAGUGUGCCUACUUUUAAAUAUUGAAUUGCGUAAACCAUACCACAAAAAAUUAUACACAUAGAACCAAAAUGACAAACACAUGCGUAGAUUACAGAAUAAUUUGAGUUUGGUACGAAUUCAGGAGAAUAUUUUUUGUAUGUAGAUUUGGAGUGCGUUUAUCAUCCUUGUGUAUGUAGAUUUGGAGUUGAAGCUCCAUGAGAAUAUAUGUUUAUCAUCCUUGUGUAUGUAAAUUUGGAGUUGAAGCUCCAUGAGGUGACAUAUAUAAGUCGCUUCAUAUCCAUGUUCCCCAAUAUGUGCUCCAUCACAAUGUUUUUUUAAUAUCGUCUUUUUGCUUCGAUACAAAAUGAUAUAGUCUUUGGAGCACUAGUUCAAGACCACAAAGUUAGAAAAAAAGUUACCACUCAGGCGAGGAGCGUGAAACGUGGAAGGCUAUCAUACCAAUCUACAUCAAGCCAUAUUCAUCAAUUGUCAAGCCAUUUGACCGCACGUGAUGUGUCGCUAUUCACACAAGAAAAAUUGUUCUAGGUAGAGAAUUGUGUGCCAAAGAGAACUUGAACUGCAAAGUAAAUGACCGACUAGCAGAGAGCCCAAAAAAUUCGGGAAUAGAAUGAGAUAUGCCCAUUGGAAUAUGUACAAAUGGAGUGAAAAGUACAUAUCACUAGAGGAAAUGUUUUCUCAACGCAAACCGAACUCCACACAUAGACUGUCAUUGCAAUCUAUAGUUAACCAAAUAAGUUUCAAGAACCGUGCAUAGGGAUUACACCGACAACGCAAAACCUUUGCAUCUACACAUGGCACUGCGAGCCUUGAGCCAAACGCCAGCUAAGAGACAACCCAAAUGAUGUGGAAAUGACUCAAAACAUGACGUAAAGAUCAUGAGAGAUAAAGUCUUUGGAGUAAAUCGGUUCAAGAUCCUGAAGUUAGAAAAUAGUUAUCACUCAGGAGAGGCACAUGCUUCAUCAAUCCAUCAAGAAAAUUUACCUCACAUUUUUUUCACUGUUCACCAGAAGCUUAAUCAGCCUUGAAACACACAAGAAAAUCCUUCUUGUCGAAGAGGAUUGUGUAUCAAAGGGAGACUCGAAUCAUAAAGUAAGUGAUCGACUAGCAAAGAGCCAAAAAUUCCCUGCUUGACUGAGAUAUGCCCAUUUGAAUCAUACAACGGAGCCGGAAGUGCAAUCUACUAGAGGAAAUGUUUUCUCAAGGCAACCUAAGCUCCACUCAUAAUGACUGUCAUUGCAUUCUAUAGUAAACCAAGUAAGUUUCCACUACUGUCAUAUAUAGGGUUUGCACCGAUAGUGCAAAACCUUAACAUGUACGUAUGGCAUUGUGAAUGUCGAGCCAAGUGCCAACUAAGAGAUAAACUCGAGAUGUGGAAAUGACUUGAAACAUGACGCGGAGAGCAUGAGAGCUAAAGUCUUUGAAGCAAACCGGUUCAAGAUCCUGAAGUUAGAAAAUAGUUAUCACUCAGGAGAGGAACAUGAAAUGUGGAAGGCUAUCCCACCAGUCUACAUCAAUCCGUCCAUCAAAGUGACCUCACAUUUUUUUCACUAUUCACCAUAAGCUUAAUUAGCCUUGAAAACACAAGAAAAUCCUUCUUGUCGAAGAGGAUCGUGUAUCAAAGGGAGACUUGAAUCAUAAAGUAAACGAUAGACUAGCAGAAAGCCAAAAGGGUUCUCUAAUUGAAUGGGGUAUGCCCAUUGAAAUCGUAAUAAUGGAGUCGGAAGUGCAUAUCACUAGAGGAAAUGUUUUCUCAACGCAACCCAAACUCCACCCAUGAUGGCUAUCAUUGCAUUCCAUAGUAAACCAAAUAAGUUUCCAUUACCGUCCAAUAUAGGCUUUGCACCGACAGUGCAAAACCUUAACGUGUAUGCAUGGCAUUGUGAACGUCGAGCCAAAUGCCAACUAAGAGAUAACUUGGAUGGCGUGGAAAUGUCUCGAAACAUGACGUAGAGAGCACGAGAGAUAAAGUUGACUUUGGUGCAAACCGGUUCAAGUUCUCGAAGUUAGAAAAAUAGUUACACUCAGGAGAGGAACAUGAAACAUGAAAGCUAUCACACCAGUCUACAUCGAGCCAUAUUCAUCAACCCGUCUAGCAAACUGACCUCACAUAACUGUGUCACCAUUCACCAGAAGCUUAAUCAACCUUGAAACACACGAGAAAAUCCUUCUUGUCAAAGAGGAUUGUGUAACAAAGAGAGAUUAGAAUCAUAAAGCUAAUGGUCGACGAGCAGAGAGGCAUGAGGAUUCCUGAAUUGAAUGGGAUAUGCCCAUUGAAAUUCUUACUCAUAGAGUCGGAAGCGCAUAUACCACUAAAUGAAAUGUUUUCUCCGCAAACCAAACUCCACUUGUAAUGAUUGGCAUUUCACUCCAUAUAGUAAACCAAGUAAGUUUCGACUAUCGCCCAACAUAGUUUGCUUCCACCGACAGUGUGAAAACAUCUACGUGUACGCCUGGCAAUGCGAACGCCAGCUAAGGGAUAACUUGGACGACAUGUAAAUCACUCAGAAGACGACGCCGAGAGCACGAGAGAGCUAUCCGGGGAUAGAGAUCCCACCCGACGAUACAUGCAAGACCCAUCGACGCAAACGCCACAUACCCUAUGCGGUGGGCGUCGUCAGCCACAACAUCUGCACCGAUCGAUGCAUACAGACACAACUUAAGAUGAAAAAAAAGAUGGAUGUGUGCACGCUAGCUCUUUUGUGUUUGCGAGCCCCAACCUCUGCACCGAUCGACACACACGACUUUAAGAUGGACGGGUGCAAGCUAGCUCUUUCGCGUCGCCGAGCACCAACCUCUGCACCGAUCGACGCACACAGCUUAAGAUGGACGCGUGCACGCUAGCCCUUUUGCGUCGCCGAGCCCCAACCUCGACACCGAUUGAUGCACACGAAUUAAGAUGAAAAAAAAAUGGAUGUGUGCACGCUAGCUCUUUUGUGUCGCUGAGCCCCAACCUCUGCGCCGAUCGACGCACACGACUUAAGAUGGACGCGUGCAAGCUAGCUCUUUUGUGUCGUCGAGCCCCAUCCUCUGCACCGGUCGAUGCACACGACUUAAGAUGGACGCGUGCACGGUAACUUUUUUUUUUAGAAGGAGAGUGUGUGGAAAGGGCGUAACAAGAAAAAGGAAAAAAUAAUACCAGGGGAGGGGAGGGAAGGAGUGUGUGUGACCGGAGGCCGGGUGAGACGCACGCGCGGCCUCGGUCCCGGCGCGGGAGGAGACAUACAUUCUCUGCGCUGCCGACACUCCAAUAAACCAUUCACCCCACGGCGCCCGCCGUGAAAGCAAAUCGCACCACCACCUACCUACCGGAUCCAUCCAUCACCUGCUCCUCGCACACCGCCGCAGAGGAUCCCGCGCGCGGAGGUUGGCCCGGCCCUUUCCGGCGCGUUACCGCUCCCGUCCCCCUCUUUUAGUGCUCCCUCCCCUGCCACUGCUCCACUCCACCCCACCCCCACCCCCACCCCCGCUCUGCCUCCUCCGCCGCCCCACCACCACCACCUUCACUCCCCUGCUGCCGCCGCUCGGAGCUCUCCUCUGCCUUCUCCCGCCGCAGGUACGAUCCGGCCGGACCGAAGUCCUUUCCCAAAACCCUGCCGCAAAACCGCUCUGCUUCUCGUUUCUUUCCAUUUUCGUUCCUUCGGUUUUCUUGAUCGCGGGCGCUCGCCGGUGUCUCGUGGCAGGAUUCCGGACUUCGGAGGGCGGCGGCGGAGAUGAUGCACGGCAAGUCGGACUCGGACAUCACGAGCCUGGCGGCGUCGUCGCCGCCGCGGUCGCCGAAGCGUGGCGCGGGGGCCGGCGGCGGCGCCUACUACGUGCAGAGCCCGUCGCGGGACUCGGCGCACGACGGCGGGGGCGCCGGCGGGUACAAGUCCUCGUCGAUGCAGGCGACGCCGGUCUACAACAGCCCCAACGAGUCCCCCUCGCACCCGUCCUACGGCCGCCACUCCCGGGCCUCCUCCGUCAGCCGCUUCUCCGGCAUCCUCCGCGGCGGCAGCGGGCGCAAGGGCGGCGGCGACCUCAAGGCGGUGAACGCCAAGGGGUGGCCCGAGUGCAGCGUCAUCGAGGAGGAGGGCUCCUACGAGGGCCUCUCCGGCGGCGACAGCGGCCUCUCCGGCCGCUGCAAGCUCGCGCUCGCCUUCGUCAGCUUCCUCCUGCUCUUCACCGUCGUCUGCCUCAUCGUCUGGGGCGCCGCCCGCCCCUACGAGCCCGACGUCGUCGUCAAGGUAGCAUAUCCACAUCCAUUCAUGCAUCCACCCUGCUUGGUUUACUUCCUCGGCACACUCUGAACUGAAUUUUUCCUACAUGAUAAUAUGAUAUGAAUUUAAACAUCAAUUGCUCUAGUUUCACUUGUGUCUCCGGGUAGAUUGAAUUUAAACAUCAAUUGCAUUACUAAUUUAAUUCAAAUCUCCGGGUAGAAUGGUCAGCAAAGACUCUGAAUUGUUGCAAACAAAAUUUGUGCUAGUAGAUCCAUUUGAGCUUUGUUAUCUCUAGAAUCGGCGCUUACUCACCGUGGUUCCUUGCUCUGAACACGAACUCAAAGGGUAUUUGUUCUUUUUUUACCAUUAGUAAUGUAAAUCCUGUUAGUCUAAGGCAAAGCACCGCUGACUGAAGAAGAGCCAAAUCAGCUGAAACAGCUUCUUCGCUGGGCAUUUUCUGACCCCCUCUUCAAAAAACCAAACUUCGUUGGACGCUAGUGAUAGGCCACUAAAUAAAUAUACUAUACAGAGAGAGAAACAUAAAACAAUGACCACGAGGCAAGAUAAAUUUUAUUUUCUUCGUUGUGCUGUUUAUGAUGGAGAUGUUGUCGGCUGGCACUGCGGUCAGCCCAGCUUGUCGACUGUCUCAGUCACAUUUCCAAACCUUCCCCUGUUUACAAGAAAGUUUUACAGUAGUUAAAUCACAGUACAAUGUACUUUUGUACCACAGUGGUACGGUGAACUUCUGCUGCAGAUCUGAAUAUGCCGGUUCUGUAAAAGCUGUUCUAACCUAGAGCUUCGUUUUACUCUGUUUUUGCACAGAGCAUAGCCAUGGAUGACUUCUACUAACCAACAACUUAUUUUCACUCUGUUUUUGCGCAGAGCAUAGCCAUGGACAACUUCUAUGCCGGAGAGGGCACAGACCACAGUGGGGUUCCAACCAAGAUGGUCACGCUCAACUGCUCCCUGAACAUGGUGGUGUACAACCCUGCUUCAAUGUUCGGAAUUCAUGUCUCCUCGGGCCCUGUUCGCCUGCUCUAUUCGGAGAUCGCCAUCGGGGUUGGACAGGUAUGCCUAUCAUCAGCAUCCCCUGCCCCUUUUUGGUGUCUGGGUAACAGCCUAGAGGUGUUGUCAGUGCUUCUUCUUCGUCGUCGCAACUCAUUUGUCCAUUUGUGAAUAAUGGUGCUUCACAUCUUACCAUGUGGAGUAUGUGAACAGCAUGGGUGGUGAAUAACCGAUACCAUACCCCCUCUGUAAAUAAAUAUAAGAGCGUUUGGAUCACUACUUUUCACCUUCGCAUUUCACCACUCAAGUGAAUGGUGUGAAUUUGUAAAUUGUGUUCAAAAUACUGAAUCCUUGAAACAUUUUACAAUAUGCCGGACACUUUUUGUCCUUCUCGGAGUAUCGGAUUGAAGGUCAUGCAGAUUUAAACUAGGAAAGGCGGUAAUUUUGAGUCAAGAAAGGGGGAAUGCAUCGAUAGGGAUGUGCAUUCAGUAUAAAGAUUAGCAGGAUAGUAGGUUCAUCAAAUAUGUGCUGUAUUGGUUUGCCUCACAAUCACUGGUAAGUUCAAGAAGCUGAUGUUAACAUCUCUCCUACGAAUGCAGGUUCACAAGUACUACCAACCGAGCAAGAGCCACCGGCUGGUGUCGGCGGUGAUCCACGGCGAGAAGGUGCCUCUCUACGGCGCGGGGGGCGGGCUCUCGCUGUCGGGCAACGACGUGACGGUGCCGCUGACGGUGGACUUCGAGCUCGUCUCCCGGGGCUACGUCAUCGGCAAGCUGGUGCGGGUGACGCACAAGGUGCACGUGACGUGCCGCAUCGCCGUCGACGCCAAGAGGGCGAGGACCAGGAUCCCCAAGAAGGCCUGCGCCGUGUACAAGGCCUGAAGGACCGCCGCCGGUUGGCUUCCGGUCCUGUUUCUGCAGGUGAAGCCUGUAUUUACUGUUCUGCUGAAGAACAAUAAACAUGUACUAGCAGUAUAUAUAAGGAACUUGUUUGAGCUUCGGUUUUGUUUAUAUAAGUUACUCUCUUGUGUGGCGGUGGUUUUGUCUAUGAGGAAGUGGUUGUACCUAUGUGUGGUGUUAGGGUUUGGUUGGUUACAAGAUAGUAGUAAUGUAUUCAUGUUUGCAACUUCGCAUGUAGGUUGAGAGAGUAGGAUUGAGAGAGUAGGAUUGGUUUUGUUGCAUCAUAUUUCCGGAUAAACUCCCAUCAUUUUUCAGGAAGUAAAGAGAUCCAUCCAGGUAGCAAGAGAGCAAUAUCAUUGCCGCAUGGAUAGUUCAAUGUGCUCAUCAGCGCCUGACCCUAAGAUGGAUUCUAGGCCUGGUCACCUCACUUGGAGAGGUUGCAUCAUUCGGCGUUUGUUUCUCGAGCCUUGUGGUUUACUCGUUCCCGAGCUUCCUCAACAUUAGGAAAACGGUCCAAACACCCGACCCCGUCAUGGAGAUGAUCGAACGGUCCGAAUGCCUAUCUAGGAGAUGAUCGAACAAUCUGAAUGCCUGUCGUGGAGAUGAUUGGAUCAGCCAUAUUUUGAUUGCUUGCCCAGACGUACCUCGGAUUUCUAACGUGUAGAAUUCAUUCUAGAGUUACACCUGAACUCCCUAUCUGCAAAGUCUGUUAUUUAAUAACCAUUGGACCUGAGGCACCAGCACGGACAAGGUCAGGGCGCAUGGAGGCUAAAAAUUCAGAGUGUUCUACUGUAAUUGUCCCAAUAAAUUAUAUGAAUAUACUGUAGACGCAUCCGAAAAGGAUGGUACCUACCAUCCUGUGUUACAUUAAACGACAGUUCAAAGCAUCCGAAAAGACAUUGCAACCAAGUACAGCAGGAAGUGAAUCAGACAAUUUUCUAGAACAAAUCAACAAAAGUUUAGUUUCAGGCUUAGGUCAAACACUGGACUGAAUAUGACACGGAGGGAAUCAAGCAAUUUUAUUGAUGGAAUCAGACUUAUGAUGCUUUAAACUUCAGAAAAGAAUAACUUUGCUUCACUAGUGCUGAUCAUUUCAACAUUGACAGGAGCACAGGAUUUUUGUUUUUAAAAGACAGGAGCAAAGGAACAUAAACUCCCAUGCCCUAUUGUUCACCAGUAUGUCAAUGGUAAGAAAAGAUCUUACCACACUGACAAGAGGAGUAGAACAUGUAUUCCCACCCAUGUUUUACUGCACGUAAGAUUACAUAGUUUGAAUGCACAAAAAGUCUCAACAUAGAACAUAGAUAGUACAAUCAUUGUAAAAGAGGGCAUGCGCCAACAGCCUAACACAACAAUCUGGAAAUCACAAACCUCAAUCAUGAUACAAAUUAAUGACAGCCCCCACAAAGUUAAACAGUAAAUGCUGUUCCAGGAUUUGCUGCUGGCAACAUACACAUAGCUAGUGUCACUAAAUUAACUGGAAUAGAUGGCCACAUAAAGUGCAAAAAGAGGUUAGAGAGUACACUCGGCAACAGAAGAGAAGCAACGCAACAUCAGAAAGAAUUAACCAGAUAGCUGCUGAUAUUACUUGGGCCCUAUGAUUCGCCAUUAUCUAAAAGGUCAACAAUGGAACAGCAAAAUGCGAGCCAGAUUAUCAGUGCCAAUCUGCCAAUGCCUCUGAGUACAAGGGAACAUAAGGAAGAUAGGGCUCCAUUGAACCCUGUCCAAGAUCAUGGAUGAAAUGCACUUUCCCAGUAUCCAUUUCAUAAGACAUCAGUACCUUGUCAUGCCCAUAAACCAGGAAAAUUGUGUUUCGUUGUGGGUGGAGGGCGACAAUAUGGUACUCGUGUCCUAGCCGGACAUUCUUCACUCCAAAUAGAUUCAGAUACCUGACGCUGUGUUCCAAGACCCACACUUCACUGCCGUAGUCCUCGAGAACCCAGAUCGAGAGUUUAUAAAGAUCGUGCUGAUCACUAUUUGCCAGAUACAAACGCCCUCGAGACAGGUCAAUGAACCCGUCAUCAACAUCUAUUAUGGGGGCGUCCUCAUCGUCCGGCAUAGGAAUAGCCCUCCAAGUAGUUCCCUCCACAUCCACUGCCACCACCGCAGACUCGACGGCGAGCAAAUGCAGAAAACCAUUGACAAAGACACUUCUAGAAUCACUCACUAUCCUAGGUAGGAAGUCCCAACCGGUGUCCUUGUGACUCCAGGCCCCGGUUUUGGAGGAGUAGAUAUCAACCGCUCUGACGAACUCGUAACCAUCGUCAUCAUCGUUGGCAUUUGCAUCUGCAGCCCCAUCCUCCACGAACUGGAACACAUGGAAGUGCGAGGAGACGGCCGGGUCGAACCCCAAGCGAGCUGUCUGCAUCUUGCUGAAGAUGCCGGGCAAGGCGACCCAUUUCUCCGUGGCAGGAUUGCACACCACGUAAUAAAAUGCCCCCGCACCAAAGGUCUUGAAGCGGCGGCAGAGGAGUAGGCCGUUGCAGCUGUCCAGAAGGUGGAACUGAUGACAGUCAGGCAGGAAGGGGAGCGAAGGGCGGAUAGGAGCACGGCCUCCCGCCGAGACAUGGGCGAAAUUGUCAGUUGAGAAAUAGCCAGUGCUGGGGCCGCGGCUCGAGUAGAGGAAGCCAGCGAGGUCCUGGAGAUGGUACUGCGGCAGCGCCUUGCGGUGGUCGGGGUGGGAGAUGAUGCCGCGCCACCGCUUGGAGACGCACUUGAAGCGGCAGAGCGACCUGUACGGCACGCGCGACAGGAUCUCGACGAGGAGGUCUUCGGUGAGCUUGUCCGCUGGAUUCCGCCGCCUGCUGAUGUCCCUGGAGCCGUCCGCCAUCGCCGCGGAGAGAAGAGGCGGUCAAUCUGCAAACGGGGGUGGAGGAGGAGAGAUUGGAGAUCCAUCGACAUCGGUGGGGGGAGCAGCAAGGAAGGAAAAGAGGAUCUACGGCGAAUGUGGCGUACUUACCAGAUGAGAAGCGAACGACGGCGAGGGAGCCCGUUUGAGGUGCUCCCGUCCCCGCCGGCGAGUCUUUGGGUGCGCGGCGGCGGCGGCGUCGAGGCGAGGUGAUAUUUUUUUUUGAGGGAUCGAGGCGAGGUGAGGUGUGGCGUAGAACUCGAAGACAGGCGAAGUGAACGAGGAGUGUGGCUGUGUUGGGCUUUUGUCUAGUUUUCAGCCUGCACUUUCAGCCGUUCACCUAAAUCACUCCUCGACUUCUCAGAUGCUGACAAAUGUCGCAUUGUUACGUCACUUGUUACAACCUAUUCUUUUUUAUAGAUUUAUUAUUACUUAUUUAAAAUGUUUUAUCCCUUGACCGUGCGGUUCAACCGUUAGAUUUCUCACGGAGUUCUUUAAAACUAGGUCCAGUGUUAAUAGGUUUCAACAAACUUUUUUAAUAAAAAUCAGAAACCGGAAACAAAACUUGGAAAAAAACCAGUAAAAAACCAAAAUCCAAAAAAGAACACAAGAAGGGGAAAAACGGAAGAAAAAACCCGGAGCCCAGAAGCACGGUUGCGGUUUUCACUUUUCUUAAGGCGCAUAUUGUAUUUUUCCUUUUUUUUGGGGGGGGGGGGCAUAGAGUGUCCAAAACCUAGGAAAAUCAGGCAAAGGCUAGAAAAAAUAAUCUAAAAUACAAAAUGCAUAUAAUUGUUUUUUGAAAAUUCACAGAAAGCGUCCAACACACGAAAUGUGGCGACGGUUGGAUGCACCACUUGGCACGCUCCUAGACUAUAAAAAUGGACCUUGCGGGAGCCGCCCCACCCCCACCCACCCAUCCAAAGAGUAACCGUUGAUUACUUGCUCCCUUAGGUUGCUUGAUAGCGACCAAACAUGCAUGCCUAUGUUUGCUACGUUUCAUAUUAGGCUAGCCGAAGUAGGCCUGAACCAGUUCUCCCUUUUCAGGUUUUUUUAACCUUUUUUUCUCUCUUUCUAUUUUGUCAUGUUUGUUUUUUCUAUUCUUUUCCUUUUUCAUUUGUUUUUGUUUUUUCUAAAACUUUCUUUAUUGUUUUGCAAACAUCUUUCAAAUUAAUGCACAUUUUUGAAAAUCAUGAAAUUUAUUAAAAUAAUGAGUGUUUUUCGAAUUUGUGAACAUUUUUGUAAAAAUCAUGAACAUGUUUUGAUAAGAUUUUUUCAAUUGUGAUUUUUAUUGGAAUUUAGGAACACUAUCAUUACCAACUCACAUUUUUAUAGGAGUAUAGAUAACACUCCUAGGCACAAAGUUUAAAAUUUUGGUGUCAUAGAUGGGCUCUUCCUAAAAGUUGGGUGAACACUUAUAAUCUU